CCUCUUAUCCCCUCCCUUCCCUCCUCAGACCCCGGAGUGACGCGACUGCUGCUAGCUGGGCCUGGGGGGCGGAGGUGGAGGGUGGAGGCUCUGCUCUCCCAGGCCCGCCCCAGGAGGAGACGGCCACCUUCCCUAGGUCUGCCGGCUGUGCUGAGACCCCCACCCGCUUGUCACCCUGGCCAUGCACUUCUCCGUCCCAGAGACCCUCCCCCCAACAGACGCGCACAUACACUCACCUGAGGCCAUGCUGCCCGAGCCCGCAGGGGUACCGGGGAGGCUGCCCGCCAGGGUCUGCCCAGCAGAAGGAGGGGAGGAGGGCUGGGACCCAGAUCCUGGCCAAGUCCCUCCGAGGACCCCUGCCCCCGGCACGGAUAUGGAAGAAGGAAGGCAGUCUUU